rnacentral:rRNA from 1 species
AGAGUUUGAUCCUGGCUCAGGAUGAACGCUGGCGGCGUGCCUAACACAUGCAAGUCGAGCGAUUCUCUUCGGAGAAGAGCGGCGGACGGGUGAGUAACGCGUGGGUAACCUGCCCUGUACACACGGAUAACAUACCGAAAGGUAUGCUAAUACGAGAUAAUAUGCUUUUAUCGCAUGGUAGAAGUAUCAAAGCUUUUGCGGUACAGGAUGGACCCGCGUCUGAUUAGCUAGUUGGUAAGGUAACGGCUUACCAAGGCGACGAUCAGUAGCCGACCUGAGAGGGUGACCGGCCACAUUGGGACUGAGACACGGCCCAAACUCCUACGGGAGGCAGCAGUGGGGAAUAUUGCACAAUGGGCGAAAGCCUGAUGCAGCAACGCCGCGUGAGCGAUGAAGGCCUUCGGGUCGUAAAGCUCUGUCCUCAAGGAAGAUAAUGACGGUACUUGAGGAGGAAGCCCCGGCUAACUACGUGCCAGCAGCCGCGGUAAUACGUAGGGGGCUAGCGUUAUCCGGAAUUACUGGGCGUAAAGGGUGCGUAGGUGGUUUCUUAAGUCAGAGGUGAAAGGCUACGGCUCAACCGUAGUAAGCCUUUGAAACUGGGAAACUUGAGUGCAGGAGAGGAGAGUGGAAUUCCUAGUGUAGCGGUGAAAUGCGUAGAUAUUAGGAGGAACACCAGUUGCGAAGGCGGCUCUCUGGACUGUAACUGACACUGAGGCACGAAAGCGUGGGGAGCAAACAGGAUUAGAUACCCUGGUAGUCCACGCCGUAAACG